rnacentral:snRNA from 1 species
GGGAAGAGCCCAGCUUGAA